UACGUAGGGUGCAAGCGUUUGUCCGGAAUUAUUGGGGCGUAAAGAGCUCGUAGGCGGCUUGUCACGUCGGAUGUGAAAGCCCGAGGCUUAACCUCGGGUCUGCAUUCGAUACGGGCUAGCUAGAGUGUGGUAGGGGAGAUCGGAAUUCCUGGUGUAGCGGUGAAAUGCGCAGAUAUCAGGAGGAACACCGGUGGCGAAGGCGGAUCUCUGGGCCAUUACUGACGCUGAGGAGCGAAAGCGUGGGGAGCGAACAGG
rnacentral:rRNA from 1 species